GUUAAGGGUGGGUGGAGAGAAAUGGACUGGAAAAGACUGAAAACAUCAAAUCAGUGUUGCUGCUGCACUGCUGCACACACCAGGGAGAGCAAGUUGCAUCUUUUUCCUCUAACAUAAGUCGAGCUGUUGCUUUCUGAAAUUCUUCAAAUUACAUAAGUCAGGCAGCUCCUGCUAUGUUUUAUUUAUAGAAAUCAGCUACUUAACAACAUGCAAAUCUAAGAUUUCAUAGUGGGUGAUUUCUAACGCAAUAACAUAAUCCUGUGUGUGCUGAGGUUACACAAGCAGGCGUUUAGAGGACAUGGCUCAGUGCUGGGAGUGUACUAGAAGAGCAGCAGUGAUGGAGCAGAGAGCAGGGAAGGAAGGGAGACUGUGAGCUCACCAGAGCAGGAUACCACGUGGUCUUCUUUUUGUCCCCAGUGGCGACCCCCUCCACACAGACCACUUUGCCGAACAGAUCCUCAUUCUGACGCUGAUCGCUCUCCUCUUCUUCACUGGAGGAGGAAGACAACUCUUCUUCUUGACUGUGGGGGGAAAACAGGAUGGUUUACUCAACAGACUGCACUUUACAAAAAAAGGUGCUCAGACAGAGGGAGGAGGGUGGCUCUCACUGUCCAAAGCCUCAGCUAGAGAGCGUCAAUAACACCCGACCAUCCUGACAACCUCCUAACUGUGAGCUUGGUUCCUGCACGGUUCAACUGAGGUUUGCAAAGUGAAAAAGCCCAAAGUCCAGCCCAAAGGGAGUUCCCAUCUCCCACAGAAAACUGUGCUCUGAACUGGCCGACUUGCUGGAAGACAUCAUUCUUCUUGUUUUCCAGCUGGAAAAUCUUUGCUCUUUAGACAGCUCAGUGCUGAAGAAAUUUGGGAGCCAAAGGCUGGGUCUCACCGUUAUAUAUUUGGGCUACUGUAGAAACAUGGCGGCGCAACAUGGCGACGUCCAUGUACAGGGACCUGCCGUGUAUUUAGAUAGACAUGGCUCAUUCUAAGGUAAUAAAAACAUAAUGGUUUAUUAUUUAAGGUCUUUAUACACCACUGAAAACAUAGUUAUGUAUAUUACACACUGAACCUUUGGGAGAGUCUUUUAUUUGCAUUCUGCUGUGAAAUCUAUCAGAGGAACUAGAAGAAGAUGUACUAUGAACACGUUGACUCUGUAACACAGCGCUCAUUUUCUGACACAGUGCUUGUUACUGUGCCAUAGGGUUAGUCCUGACUAAUCACAUGUGUGCUGUACAUGUCACAGUGAGUGAUACUGACAUGGUGCUAAUUGACUUUUUGAAGGUCUUCUAGUACCGAUCAUCAUCAUGAAUAAAAAUGUCACACAGA